rnacentral:rRNA from 1 species
CCUACGGGAGGCAGCAGUGAGGAAUAUUGGGCAAUGGACGAAACUCUGACCCAGCAACGCCGCGUGAAUGAUGAAGGUCUUCGGAUUGUAAAGUUCUUUUCUAAGGGAAGAAGAAAGUGACGGUACCUUAGGAAUAAGCCUCGGCUAACUACGUGCCAGCAGCCGCGGUAAUACGUAGGUGGCAAGCGUUAUCCGGAAUGACUGGGCGUAAAGGGUGCGUAGGCGGGAUGGCAAGUCAGUAGCGUAACCCCAGGGCUCAACCCUGGAACUGCUACUGAAACUGUUGGACUUGAGUGCAGGAGGGGCAAUCGGAAUGCCUAGUGUAGCGGUGGAAUGCGUAGAUAGUCGGAGGAACACCAGUGGCGAAGGCGGAUUGCUAGACUGUAACUGACGCUGAGGCACGAAAGCGUGGGGAGCAAACAGGAUUAGAUACCCCGGUAGUC